GUUCCUGUAGUUAAAUUUUAAUAACAAUGGCUUUUCAGGCCGUAGAUCUCGGGUAAUGGCCGAGUGGGAAUA
rnacentral:tRNA from 1 species